rnacentral:rRNA from 1 species
AAUGAACGUUGGCGGCGUGGAUUAGGCAUGCAAGUCGCGCGAGAAGUCAAUUAGCUAGAUCAAAGGCGGAAAGCGGCGGAAGGGAGAGUAACGCGUGGGUAUGUACCCUCGCGACCGGGAUAGUGCCGGGAAAUUGGCAGUCAUAGCGGCUAACAUCUUCGGGUAAAAUGGUCUGAAUCCGCUUGAGGAUCGGACCGCGUACUAUUAGCUAUUUGGCGGGGUAUUAGCCCACCAAGGCUUAGAUGGUUACCGGGUGUGAGAGCAUGGCCCGGCUCACUGGGACUGAAACACUGCCCAGACAUCUACGGGUGGCUGCAGUCGAGAAUCUUCGGCAAUGGACGAAAGUCUGACCGAGCGACGCCACGUGCGGGAUGAAGGCCCUCGGGUUGUAAACCGCUGUCAGUUAGGAGGAAAUCCAUGAGGGUACUCUCUCAUGGUUGACCGAUUUUCAGAGGAAGGACGGGCUAAGUUCGUGCCAGCCGCCGCAGUAACAC